rnacentral:rRNA from 1 species
UACGUAGGGUGCAAGCGUUAAUCGGAAUUACUGGGCGUAAAGCGUGCGCAGGCGGUUUUGUAAGUCUGACGUGAAAUCCCCGAGCUUAACUUGGGAAUUGCGUUGGAGACUGCAAGGCUGGAGUCUGGCAGAGGGGGGUAGAAUUCCACGUGUAGCAGUGAAAUGCGUAGAGAUGUGGAGGAACACCGAUGGCGAAGGCAGCCCCCUGGGUCAAGACUGACGCUCAUGCACGAAAGCGUGGGGAG